AAAGCUUUAAGUUAAAAAAACUAUUAACCUUCAAAGUUAAAAUUAUAGGGUAUUCCUAUAAGCUUUA
rnacentral:tRNA from 1 species